CCUCCCUCAAAACAUCCCGCAGCCUAGCAACCGCUUCCACAUGUUCCUCUAGCACCUCUCGGGCCGGCACGCCAAGCCUAGAGACCGCAGCCACCACGCUACCCUCAGCUUCAACGCCACACCUGCCAGCACCACAGUCGGAUCCGUCCGCCACCACAAGCCCUCCCUCGCCGUCAGGGCCACCGCCAGCAGCACCACCGCCCAGACGCUCCACAACAGCCGGCGCCCGCUCGAUCGCACCACCGCCAACCACCCCAGCCGGCGCGGUGGCAGACAAAGCCGUCGGAGCAGACUCCCCGUAGCACAGAGCCACCGCCAGAGGCCGAUCAGCACCCGCUGCCGCAAACUCCCCGGACUCCAGAGUCAAAGCAACGCCGAGGACCAGCGCCGCCUCCGUCGGAGCGACGGAGCCCCAACCCCAGACCCAGGAGCUCGAGUGGGAGACGCAGGGCCACCAAACACCGCAACAGGCCCAGGAUUAGGCGCUGAUCCACUGCCCGCCCGCUUCUUGGGCCCCGGACUCCGAGCCCUCUUCAGAUGGGCCGCGCCCACGCCAGC
rnacentral:lncRNA from 1 species